CUUAACAUUUAGCUUCUGUUUUAUAAAUUGGUAAUGCAUGCUUACACUUGGUGCAACAAAUUUCGAGUCUAAAGGGGAAAGACAUUUACAUGGGAGAUUUGUAUGUCACUGCCACUUGGGGGCCUCCAAGAAAUCUUGAUCCAUUGCAAAGUUUACCUGCCAAUUCUCACAUGAAGGAUGCACUAGUAAUACCAAUUUGGACUCCUUCAAGACAUUA